AACGAACGCUGGCGGCAUGCCUAACACAUGCAAGUCGAACGAACCCUUCGGGGUUAGUGGCGCACGGGUGCGUAACGCGUGGGAAUCUGCCCUUUGCUUCGGAAUAACUCAGGGAAACUUGUGCUAAUACCGGAUGAUGUCUUCGGACCAAAGAUUUAUCGGCAAGGGAUGAGCCCGCGUAGGAUUAGGUAGUUGGUGGGGUAAAGGCCUACCAAGCCGACGAUCCUUAGCUGGUCUGAGAGGAUGAUCAGCCACACUGGGACUGAGACACGGCCCAGACUCCUACGGGAGGCAGCAGUGGGGAAUAUUGGACAAUGGGCGCAAGACUGAUCCAGCAAUGCCGCGUGAGUGAUGAAGGCCCUCGGGUCGUAAAGCUCUUUUACCAGGGAUGAUAAUGACAGUACCUGGAGAAUAAGCUCCGGCUAACUCCGUG
rnacentral:rRNA from 1 species